CAUUGUUAUUGCCUUCGGUCUUCCGUCUCCGAUCUGGAAAAUGCCAUCACCCCAUCCUCAGCACCUGUGGUACAGAAGGAAAACAGGAGAUGGACAUGACAUUUUGCUGGACAGGACCAUGGUGGCGAACAAGAGACUCUACAAAAUCAGUAGCUCCACUGAUUUUUUUAACAUAGAUUCAAAGCUCCACAACACCUCUGGCUGCACGUACUGGAAAACCUUUUGCUACUUCAUUUGGCAGGAAGUUGAACUCCUGGAACAGAGGACAAUGUGGAGGACAAAAGCUUUCCUCUGCAUGAUUUUUCCAAAAAAGCAAAACUAGCAAAUGCUUUCAUUACAGUUAUGUAAUCUUAUCACAUGUGCAUAUUAAUGUUCAAGGUCCCUUCUUUCUUUUCAACUCGUGUGGUUUGUCUCAGCUUUCCAGCCAAGAAUAAAAUAAAAGAUUUGCCAGAAGCCA